UACGUAGGGGGCGAGCGUUGUCCGGAUUUAUUGGGCGUAAAGAGCUCGUAGGCGGUUCGGCAAGUCGACGGUGAAAUCUCCACGCUCAACGUGGAGGGGUCCGUCGAUACUGCUGUGACUCGAGUCCGGUAGGGGAGUGUGGAAUUCCCGGUGUAGCGGUGAAAUGCGCAGAUAUCAGGAAGAACACCCGUGGCGAAAGCGGCUCUCUGGAACGGUACUGACGCUGAGACGCGAAAGCGUGGGGAGCGAACAGG
rnacentral:rRNA from 1 species